CGAGCCUAGCCGCUUGGUGUACGCGGCCUCCCGGAAGCACUCCAUGCACACCGCCGUCAGCUUCACCACGCUCUCCGCCAGGGGCACCAGGUUCAGGAUGGUCCCAAAGGCCUACGCUCCCAGCAAAGGACAGCAGGUCUGGGGUCCUGGGAGGGCCUCAGCCCCCCUCCUGCCCACUGCGCCGACGCCAACAUUCGAAGAGCUCACAUCGUCCCCUGCUCACAUGCCACCUCCCUGGGAAGGGGCCCCCAGCAGGGGUUCCCGACGUCUCCAAGCAGGGGCGCCCGGGAGGGAAAGUACCAGCAGAGGUUCUUGCUGGCGGCGAGCUGGCCCACCGGCGUCCAGCUGCCCCGUCCAUACCUCCCGGCAACCGGCGGUGAGCCACUUCCUAAAGGAGCUUCGACUCGGGGGAAAGAACCCAGAGCCAAGCUUAGGAAGCCUUGGAGGGGAUUUGCACCUGCGUCAUCAAGAAGAAAGGGUAGCGGAUAAACAUGGAAACAGGACUACGAGGGUCUUGGAAACAAAAGAGAAAUGCAGUGGAGUAGGGUGUAUGGGUGUGUGUGCACUGGUGUGUACGUGUGUGCACACGUGGGCACGCUCCAGCACCCGCCCUUCACGCCUCUCCUGGGGAUUUCUGCAAAGGCCUGGUGGUCACACUGCCCUCUCCACCUGCCGUCCACUCUCCUGCCCGGAGCCACCCACCUCCCUCCUACCCAAGACACACGCCACCAGCCAGCCACUCACUCCCUGGUUCUCUCCCAGGCCCCUUUCUGACCACCCCACCUUAGCUCUGUCCCCCUGAUGUGCCUUUCCCCCCAGUUGUCUCCACCUGACCUGUGACGUCAUUCUCUUCCUGGGCUAGAGUGUAAGCACAGGGGUAGAGACGCUGACUGGAUCCCCAACACCAAGAACACGGCUGGCAUGGGGCACAGGCCCGGAAAGUACUGAUGGAUGGAUGGAUGGAUGGAUGGGACUGGCCCUUUGACCAGCAAUUCCACU